rnacentral:lncRNA from 1 species
AAGAGCCCAGUCCAGAAGUUCUCUGCUAUGGCUAUCGAUUCUUAUUCCAACCAAAACAUUCCUUCUCGCAACAGCUUCAGCUUCCUCCUCAACUAGCAUCUCGUAUGGUCUACUUAAUUGGGUUCACUAUUUCUUGAUCGAUCAAUUCCACAACAUCAAAGAAUCUAUAUAAGAUUUUAUUCCUCCUUGAACUUGCAUAGAUUCUGCAAAUUUAUUCUCUAAAUGAACUUCUCCAAUUCUUGACGUAAUCAUUUCAGUUCCCUACAAUAUUGAAAGGUAUAACAUGGUUACACUAGAUGAAAUUCUACCCUUUAACUGAUUCCGUUUGAAUAUUCCAAACUCAAAGAAUUUUUAAACAAUUUCAAAAGAAUUCACAUACCCACAAAAUCAUGUAAAUACUAUUAAAAUGAUGAAUAAUGCACAAGGUAAACAAGACAAACAGAUAAAAUUGGUACCUAAAAACUUUGUAGCCAUUUGCCAUUCAAACCAAGAAAAGAAUUAAAAAUGUAAUUGUCACCAAAUAUCAACCCUCCACCUAAUGCAACUAAUUUCAAGACUGAUAAAAGAAUAUUUAAAAUUAAAAAAAAAUAAUAAUAAUAAAGGAACUUGCUAAUAAACUAAAGACAGAGUGUUUUGGUGACAAUUAAGAUCACUUAAAAAAAAGGCGAACUAUUUUUGUUUUAAGAAAAUUUUGUGAAGAAAGUGUCGGCAAGGAAGAGAUUAAUCCUUAAAACAAAAACAAAAAAGGUGAAACAAUUUUAUGGCUAUGAAGUGAAAGAACAGAGAAGAGGAGAAGAGGAGAGAAGGGG